UACGGAGGGGGCUAGCGUUGUUCGGAAUUACUGGGCGUAAAGGGCGCGUAGGCGGUUUACCAAGUCAGGCGUGAAAGGCCUGGGCUCAACCCGGGAACUGCGCUUGAUACUUGUAGACUUGAGUCCGGGAGAGGAUGGCGGAAUUCCCAGUGUAGAGGUGAAAUUCGUAGAUAUUGGGAAGAACACCGGUGGCGAAGGCGGCCAUCUGGACCGGAACUGACGCUGAGGCGCGAAAGCGUGGGGAGCAAACAGG
rnacentral:rRNA from 2 species